rnacentral:SRP_RNA from 1 species
UCUCAGUAAUGAGUAACUGGCAGACACAAGUAAUGGAUCACGUGAAGGAGGGCACUCUCAAUGUACGAAUCUACCACGGAAAGGAGCGUGCCGAAAUGUUCCCCGCUAUUCAAGCGGGCACGGUGGAUAUUUUGCUAGUCAGCUAUCAUACGUUGGCAGCGGACUUUGGAGCUGUGUUUGGGAAAGGAGACGAGAACGGGGCAAGGGAGCCGCCACAGAAACGGAGCAGA